GUCUUUGCGUCUGUCUGUCUGACUGAUGGUCCUCACACGCGGUUCCCUGUGACUGGGCGCGACCCCGGCAAGCGCGGCUUGGAGGGCGGACGGGGCGCGGCGAUACAGCUGCCCGCUCGCAUCUUUGGCCCUGCGCUCAGCUCCUCACCCGGCGUGGGAAGUUAAAGUAAAACCGAAAGGGAAGAAGGCGCGGUGGCAGGAGCUGACAGAGUGAUGGGAAACGCGUGAGCCAGGCCGAGAGUUUCAGGUUUCUUGCUGUAUGGAUCACUGAUUGAAUAAUAGAUGGCUUUACCUCGUCUCACAGGAGCCUUGCGUUCCUUUUCAAAUGUCACCAAGCAAGAUAAUUAUAAUGAAGAAGUGGCUGACUUAAAGAUAAAGCGAUCUAAACUUCAUGAACAAGUUUUAGAUUUGGGCCUGACAUGGAAGAAGAUAAUAAAAUUUUUGAAUGAAAAACUGGAGAAGAGUAAAAUGCAAAGUAUAAAUGAAGACUUAAAAGAUAUAUUACAUGCUGCAAAGCAGAUAGUUGGAACUGAUAAUGGGAGAGAAGCAAUUGAAAGUGGGGCUGCAUUUCUCUUCAUGACAUUUCACUUGAAGGACUCUGUUGGUCACAAGGAAACAAAGGCUAUCAAACAGAUGUUUGGCCCCUUUCCUUCAUCAUCUGCCACUGCAGCUUGUAAUGCUACUAAUCGAAUUAUUUCUCAUUUUAGUCAAGAUGAUCUUACUGCUCUUGUGCAGAUGACAGAAAAAGAACAUGGCGAUAGGGUUUUUUUUGGUAAAAAUUUAGCAUUUUCAUUUGACAUGCAUGAUUUGGACCACUUUGACGAACUGCCAAUAAAUGGUGAAACUCAGAAAACUAUAAGCCUAGAUUAUAAGAAGUUUCUGAAUGAACAUCUCCAGGAGGCUUGCACCCCAGAACUCAAGCCUGUGGAAAAAACAAAUGGCUCCUUUUUGUGGUGUGAAGUUGAAAAGUACCUAAAUUCAACUUUGAAGGAAAUGACUGAAGUGCCAAGAGUAGAAGAUCUUUGCUGUACUUUAUAUGAUAUGCUUGCUUCUAUUAAAAGUGGUGAUGAACUUCAGGAUGAGGUAUAGUUGAAAUGAUUUAUUUUUUUAUAUUAAUGUGAACUAUCCUAAUGAAAUAGUGUUUUUUAAACAUGGGUGGUUAGCAAAGAAAGUUCUUUAAUGUUCUGUAUAGUAGUUGAAUCUAUAGCCAAAUGGUUUCACAUAGCA
rnacentral:lncRNA from 1 species